GUGGGUGCUGGUGGGAGCCGUG
rnacentral:miRNA from 1 species